rnacentral:rRNA from 1 species
UACGGAGGGUGCAAGCGUUGUUCGGAAUUAUUGGGCGUAAAGGGCGCGUAGGCGGUAAUGUAAGUCAGAUGUGAAAUACUCCGGCUCAACCAGAGAACAGCAUCUGAAACUGCAUAACUAGAGUACAGAAGAGGGAAACGGAAUUCCCGGUGUAGAGGUGAAAUUCGUAGAUAUCCGGAGGAACACCAGUGGCGAAAGCGGCCUCCUGGCCCAUUUCUGACGCUCAGACACGAAAGCUAAGGUAGCAAACGGG